GCCCUCACUUUGACAGCACAUAUGCUAAAAUUGGAACAAUACAGAGAUUUGCAUGGCCCCUGUACAAAGAAAACAUGCAAAUUUGUGAAGCGUUCCUUAUUUUU
ensembl:snRNA U6 U6 spliceosomal RNA